ensembl:misc_RNA Metazoa_SRP Metazoan signal recognition particle RNA
CAUGUGCAUACAGGCAUGCACCUGUAGUCCCAGCUACUUAGGAGUCUAAGGCUGGAAGAUUACUUGAGCCCAGGAGUUCUGGACUGUAGUGCACUAGGCUGCUUUGGUGUCUGCAGUAAGUUCAGUAUCAAUCUGGUGAGCUCCUGUGAGCAUGGAACCACCAGGUUGCCUAAGGAGGGGUAAACCAUACCAGGUUGGAAACAGAGAAGGUCAAAACUCCUGUGCUGAUCAGUAGUGGGAUCACACCUGUGAACAGCCACUGCGCUCCAGCCUGGGCAAUAUAGUGAGACCCUAACUCU